rnacentral:rRNA from 2 species
GUCAUGGUUAAGUGGGAAACGAUGUGGGAAGGCACAGACAGCCAGGAUGUUGGCUUAGAAGCAGCCAUCAUUUAAAGAAAGCGUAAUAGCUCACUGGUCGAGUCGGCCUGCGCGGAAGAUGUAACGGGGCUAAACCAUGCACCGAAGCUGCGGCAGCGACACUAUGUGUUGUUGGGUAGGGGAGCGUUCUGUAAGCCUGCGAAGGUGGCCUGUGAGGGCUGCUGGAGGUAUCAGAAGUGCGAAUGCUGACAUAAGUAACGAUAAAGCGGGUGAAAAGCCCGCUCGCCGGAAGACCAAGGGUUCCUGUCCAACGUUAAUCGGGGCAGGGUGAGUCGACCCCUAAGGCGAGGCCGAAAGGCGUAGUCGAUGGGAAACAGGUUAAUAUUCCUGUACUUGGUGUUACUGCGAAGGGGGGACGGAGAAGGCUAUGUUAGCCGGGCGACGGUUGUCCCGGUUUAAGCAUGUAGGCGGAGGUUCCAGGUAAAUCCGGUACCUUUUAACGCUGAGAUGUGAUGACGAGGCACUACGGUGCUGAAGUAACAAAUGCCCUGCUUCCAGGAAAAGCCUCUAAGCAUCAGGUAACAUCAAAUCGUACCCCAAACCGACACAGGUGGUCAGGUAGAGAAUACCAAGGCGCUUGAGAGAACUCGGGUGAAGGAACUAGGCAAAAUGGUGCCGUAACUUCGGGAGAAGGCACGCUGGUGUGUAGGUGAAGUCCCUGCGGAUGGAGCUGAGACCAGUCGAAGAUACCAGCUGGCUGCAACUGUUUAUUAAAAACACAGCACUGUGCAAACACGAAAGUGGACGUAUACGGUGUGACGCCUGCCCGGUGCCGGAAGGUUAAUUGAUGGGGUUAUCCGUAAGGAGAAGCUCUUGAUCGAAGCCCCGGUAAACGGCGGCCGUAACUAUAACGGUCCUAAGGUAGCGAAAUUCCUUGUCGGGUAAGUUCCGACCUGCACGAAUGGCGUAAUGAUGGCCAGGCUGUCUCCACCCGAGACUCAGUGAAAUUGAACUCGCUGUGAAGAUGCAGUGUACCCGCGGCAAGACGGAAAGACCCCGUGAACCUUUACUAUAGCUUGACACUGAACAUUGAGCCUUGAUGUGUAGGAUAGGUGGGAGGCUUUGAAGCGUGGACGCCAGUCUGCGUGGAGCCAACCUUGAAAUACCACCCUUUAAUGUUUGAUGUUCUAACGUAGGCCCCUGACCGGGGUUGCGGACAGUGUCUGGUGGGUAGUUUGACUGGGGCGGUCUCCUCCCAAAGAGUAACGGAGGAGCACGAAGGUUAGCUAAUCCUGGUCGGACAUCAGGAGGUUAGUGCAAUGGCAUAAGCUAGCUUGACUGCGAGCGUGACGGCGCGAGCAGGUGCGAAAGCAGGUCAUAGUGAUCCGGUGGUUCUGAAUGGAAGGGCCAUCGCUCAACGGAUAAAAGGUACUCCGGGGAUAACAGGCUGAUACCGCCCAAGAGUUCAUAUCGACGGCGGUGUUUGGCACCUCGAUGUCGGCUCAUCACAUCCUGGGGCUGAAGUAGGUCCCAAGGGUAUGGCUGUUCGCCAUUUAAAGUGGUACGCGAGCUGGGUUUAGAACGUCGUGAGACAGUUCGGUCCCUAUCUGCCGUGGGCGCUGGAGAAUUGAGGGGGGCUGCUCCUAGUACGAGAGGACCGGAGUGGACGCAUCACUGGUGUUCGGGUUGUCAUGCCAAUGGCACUGCCCGGUAGCUAAAUGCGGAAGAGAUAAGUGCUGAAAGCAUCUAAGCACGAAACUUGCCCCGAGAUGAGUUCUCCCUGAGACUUUAAGUCUCCUGAAGGAACGUUGAAGACGACGACGUUGAUAGGCCGGGUGUGUAAGCGCAGCGAUGCGUUGAGCUAACCGGUACUAAUGAACCGUGAGGCUUAACCUU